GUUGUAAUUUGCUUUCAUUUUAGUAUCUUUGAACCAUUGGAAACAGC
rnacentral:other from 1 species